rnacentral:sRNA from 12 species
AGUCCUCGCCAAUAGGACUAUAAAUAUAGAAAGCGAUUGUAAAGUUUCGCCUGCGGUUUCGUAAUGCCGACGCAAUAAAAGGACGGGGAUUGUAUAUGUGUUCCUAUUCAAACAAUGCAAUUCCUAAAUGGUAGAAGAUGUUGCGAAGCCAGUACCGCCUGGCGAUGAAAUGGCGGACGAAUUAGCAACAAAGGGUAAGGUUUAAUCGCCGAAGUUAGAUUUCGGAUAGCUGCGGAAGUGGCGGGAUUGGUAUAGUAGAUCA